CGCGUAGGCGGCCGGAGAAGUCGGAUGUGAAAGCCCGGGGCUCAACCUCGGAACGGCAUUCGAAACUUUUCGGCUGGAGAACGGAAGAGGAGAGUGGAAUACCCAGUGUAGAGGUGAAAUUCGUAGAUAUUGGGUGGAACACCGGUGGCGAAAGCGGCUCUCUGGUCCGGGUCUGACGCUGAGGCGCGAAAGCGUGGGGAGCAAACA
rnacentral:rRNA from 1 species